UCAAUAAGCGGAGGAAAAGAAACUAACAAGGAUUCCCUCAGUAACGGCGAGCGAAGUGGGAAGAGCUCGAGCCUGAAAUCACUGGCAGUCACUGCCAGAGAAUUGUGGCCGGGAGAGGCAGCGGUGCCCGGACUGACGCUGUCGAAGUUGACCUGGAAAGGCACGUCAGAGAGGGUGAGAGCCCCGUGCGCGACACUGUCGGGAAGGGCCGCUACUGUCUUCAGAGAGUCGGGUUGUUUGGGAAUGCAGCCCAAAGUGGGUGGUAAACUCCAUCUAAAGCUAAAUACUGGCACGAGACCGAUAGCGAACAAGUACCAUGAGGGAAAGGUGAAAAGUACUUUGAAAAGAGAGUCAAAAAGACCGCAAAACCGUUAGGAGGGAAACGAAUGCAGCUGAAGUAGUUCUCUCUCAGGCUCAGGAAGUGUCGGUUCGGYCUGCUGGCCUCCGGAAACCGUUAGGUGCCGGGGGUUGGACGACUGGCCGACUAAUCUGCACUCCUGGGGAGAGCUGGCCAACAACAGUUGCCACUGGCUCACAAGGGCGGUUGGGCAGGUAGCCUCCUCUUCGAGGUGGAACUUACAGCCAUCCGUCUGGCAGUCCGGGGGCGACUGAGGAGAGUUUGCGAACUUUCGCACGUGCGGUGUAGGCCCUCCGGGGCCGGGCCGCCUCUGUCCGUUUGGGUACCGCGCUGGUGACUGCUUGCAGUGUCCAGUGACGAAUGCCUGCUCGGGUGGGGGGCCGGUCACGCCAUGCGCCGCAGUUGUUGGUGUCCAAAUGGCUGCAUCCGACCCGUCUUGAAACACG
rnacentral:rRNA from 1 species